rnacentral:lncRNA from 1 species
UAUUGGUAAUAAUUAUCAUUUAUGUAGAUCUAUCAUUUUUCAAAUGCUUUUUGCAAACUCAUCUCAUCUGAGGUUCUGCCCAUCCUCUUCAUUUUGCACAUGAAGAGACUGAGUCUCAGAGAGGAUAAGUGCCCUUUCAAGAUCACAACAGAUUUAUAGGAAAGCUUAAACUUCAACCAUGGUCUAAUUCUUACAACAGUAUUAUUUUUGUUAGUGUCAAUUUUUUCACUAUAUUAAUACUAUUCAAUACUACUUUAUACUGUAGUUAUUCAGGGCACAAAGUUUUUACAAAAUAAAUAGGUUGUAUAUUUAGUGGUAAGAAUCUUUAACUGGAAGUCGGGAGACUAACACUCAUCACUUGAUUCUUUUAAAAUUGAACUGUAUGACCUUGGGCAAACCACUUUCACAAUCUGAAUCUUAUCUUCUUCUUCUUCUAACAUUUUAUGAUUCUGACACUACGUUAGGCUUGUCAAUAGUUUACACUAUCCUUAGAAUGCAAACUUUAUUUCCACCAGCUACGUUUAAAAAUUCAUUCACCUACAACUGAAAGGAUUUUAAAGUUAACAUUAUUGCCUCAAGCAAUACUCAUUACUUCUCCUCAAGCUCCUGUAAAGAAUACACAGGAUAAGGUUCAAGAAGUAGGGCUGUUUUGCAGCUCAGCUUUAGUUAGGCAGUUAGUAAAAAAUUAUGUUUGCCUGCCAUGCUAAGUCGUUUCAGUAGUGUCCAACUCUGUGUGACAGCAUGGACCGUAGCCCACCAGGCUCCUCUGUCCAUGGGAUUCUCCAGGAAAG